rnacentral:rRNA from 1 species
UGGGGAAUUUUGGACAAUGGGCGCAAGCCUGAUCCAGCCAUGCCGCGUGCGGGAAGAAGGCCUUCGGGUUGUAAACCGCUUUUGUCAGGGAAGAAAUCUUCUGAGUUAAUACCUCGGGAGGAUGACGGUACCUGAAGAAUAAGCACCGGCUAACUACGUGCCAGCAGCCGCGGUAAUACGUAGGGUGCAAGCGUUAAUCGGAAUUACUGGGCGUAAAGCGUGCGCAGGCGGUUUUGUAAGACAGAGGUGAAAUCCCCGGGCUCAACCUGGGAACUGCCUUUGUGACUGCAAGGCUUGAGUGCGGCAGAGGGGGAUGGAAUUCCGCGUGUAGCAGUGAAAUGCGUAGAUAUGCGGAGGAACACCGAUGGCGAAGGCAAUCCCCUGGGCCUGCACUGACGCUCAUGCACGAAAGCGUGGGGAGCAAACAGGAUUAGAUACCCUGGUAGUCCACGCCCUAAACGAUAUCAACUGGUUGUUGGGAAGGUUCCUUCUCAGUAACGUAGCUAACGCGUGAAGUUGACCGCCUGGGGAGUACGGCCGCAAGGUUGAAACUCAAAUGAAUUGACGGGGUCAUAGCUGUUUCC